GCCAGUGUGGCCUAGUGGUUAGAGUGCCAGACUGGGAUCUCGGAGACCUGGGUUUGAAUCCUCCCUCUGCCA
rnacentral:tRNA from 1 species